AAUGAACGCUGGCGGCGUGCCUAACACAUGCAAGUCGAGCGAGAAAGUCCCCUUCGGGGGGCGAGUAAAGCGGCGCACGGGUGAGUAACGCGUGGGUAACCUGCCCUUGAGUGGGGGAUAACCAGCCGAAAGGCUGACUAAUCCCGCAUACGACCGGCAGACACAAGUCUGUCGGGGAAAGAUGGCCUCUGCUUGCAAGCUAUCGCUCUUGGAUGGGCCCGCGUUGGAUUAGGCUAGUUGGUGGGUAACGGCUACCAAGGCUGCGAUCCAUAGCUGGUUUGAGAGGACGACCAGCCACACUGGAACUGAGACACGGUCCAGACUCCUACGGGAGCAGCAGUGAGGAAUAUUGCGCAAUGGGGGAAACCCUGACGCAGCGACGCCGUGUGAGCGAUGAAGGCCUUCGGGCGUAAAGCUCUGUCAGAGGGAAAGAAAGGGUCGGCGGAAUAAUACCCGCGACAUUGACGGUACCCUCGGAGGAAGCACCGGCUAACCCGUGCC
rnacentral:rRNA from 1 species